GGGAUAACAUUUGGAAACAGAUGCUAAUACCGCAUAAGAUUACAGUACCGCAUGAUACAGUGAUCAAAGGAGCAAUCCGCUGAAAGAUGGGCUCGCGUCCGAUUAGAUAGUUGGUGAGGUAACGGCUCACCAAGUCGACGAUCGGUAGCCGGACUGAGAGGUUGAACGGCCACAUUGGGACUGAGACACGGCCCAGACUCCUACGGGAGGCAGCAGUGGGGAAUAUUGCACAAUGGGCGAAAGCCUGAUGCAGCAACGCCGCGUGAGGGAAGACGGUUUUCGGAUUGUAAACCUCUGUUUUCGGUGACGAACAAAUGACGGUAACCGAGUAGGAAGCCACGGCUAACUACGUGCCAGCAGCCGCGGUAAUACGUAGGUGGCAAGCGUUAUCCGGAAUUACUGGGUGUAAAGGGAGCGCAGGCGGGAUAGCAAGUCAGCUGUGAAAACUAUGGGCUCAACCCAUAAACUGCAGUUGAAACUGUUAUUCUUGAGUGGAGUAGAGGCAAGCGGAAUUCCGAGUGUAGCGGUGAAAUGCGUAGAUAUUCGGAGGAACACCAGUGGCGAAGGCGGCUUGCUGGGCUCUAACUGACGCUGAGGCUCGAAAGUGUGGGGAGCAAACAGGAUUAGAUACCCUGGUAGUCCACACUGUAA
rnacentral:rRNA from 1 species